UAUAAAAUAUAAAAAGCGAGAAAUUUGCAUACGGUUUCGGCCCGUAGUUUUUAGGUGAAAGUCCUUUUUUAUAC
rnacentral:tRNA from 1 species